CCUACGGGAGGCAGCAGUGGGGAAUAUUGGACAAUGGGCGCAAGCCUGAUCCAGCCAUGCCGCGUGAGUGAUGAAGGCCUUAGGGUUGUAAAGCUCUUUUGUCCGGGACGAUAAUGACGGUACCGGAAGAAUAAGCCCCGGCUAACUUCGUGCCAGCAGCCGCGGUAAUACGAAGGGGGCUAGCGUUGCUCGGAAUCACUGGGCGUAAAGGGCGCGUAGGCGGCCGAUUAAGUCGGGGGUGAAAGCCUGUGGCUCAACCGACAGAACUUGCCUUCGAUACUGGUUGGCUUGAGACCGGAAGAGGACAGCGGAACUGCGAGUGUAGAGGUGAAAUUCGUAGAUAUUCGCAAGAACACCAGUGGCGAAGGCGGCUGUCUGGUCCGGUUCUGACGCUGAGGCGCGAAAGCGUGGGGAGCAAACAGGAUUAGGAUACCCUGGUAGUCCACGCCGUAAACGAUGAAUGCCAGCCGUUGGCCUGCUUGCAGUCAGUGCGCGCUACGCAUAAGCAUCCGCCGUGGGAGGUACGGUCGCGAAGAAUUAAAACGUUAAAGGUAAAGUUAGACGGCGUGAGACGUGCCGAACGGACGACGACGAGGGAGUAGG
rnacentral:rRNA from 1 species